GUCUACGGCCAUACCACCCUGAACACACCCAAUCUCAUCUGAUCUCGGAAGCUAAGCAGGGUUGGGCCUGGUUAGUACUUGGAUGGGAGAACUUGACAUGUGCCUACUCGGGACUAAGAUGAACUUUAAAUC
ensembl:rRNA 5S_rRNA 5S ribosomal RNA